rnacentral:rRNA from 1 species
GGGGAAUAUUGCACAAUGGGCGAAAGCCUGAUGCAGCAACGCCGCGUGAGUGAUGAAGGCCUUCGGGUUGUAAAGCUCUGUCUUUGGGGACGAUAAUGACGGUACCCAAGGAGGAAGCCACGGCUAACUACGUGCCAGCAGCCGCGGUAAUACGUAGGUGGCGAGCGUUGUCCGGAUUUACUGGGCGUAAAGGAUGCGUAGGCGGAUAUUUAAGUGAGAUGUGAAAUACCCGGGCUUAACUUGGGUGCUGCAUUUCAAACUGGAUAUCUAGAGUGCGGGAGAGGAGAAUGGAAUUCCUAGUGUAGCGGUGAAAUGCGUAGAGAUUAGGAAGAACACCAGUGGCGAAGGCGAUUCUCUGGACCGUAACUGACGCUGAGGCAUGAAAGCGUGGGUAGCAAAC